rnacentral:rRNA from 1 species
GACGAACGCUGGCGGCGUGCUUAACACAUGCAAGUCGAACGGUGAAGCGCCUUCCUUUUUGGUUGGUGUGGAUGAGUGGCGAACGGGUGAGUAACACGUGAGUAACCUGCCCCCUUCUUCUGGAUAACCGCAUGAAAGUGUGGCUAAUACGGGAUAUUCUGUGUCUGUCGCAUGAUGGGUCUGUGUAAGCUAUUGUUUCUGUGGGGGAUGGGCUCGCGGCCUAUCAGCCUGUUGGUGGGGUGAUGGCCUACCAAGGCGGUGACGGGUAGCCGGCCUGAGAGGGUGGACGGUCACACUGGGACUGAGACACGGCCCAGACUCCUACGGGAGGCAGCAGUGGGGAAUAUUGCACAAUGGGCGCAAGCCUGAUGCAGCGACGCCGCGUGAGGGAUGGAGGCCUUCGGGUUGUGAACCUCUUUCGCCAGUGAAGCAGGCCUGCCUCGUUUGUGGGUGGGUUGACGGUAGCUGGAGAAGAAGCGCCGGCUAACUACGUG